rnacentral:tRNA from 1 species
GCCUUGGUGGCGGAAUGGUAGACGCGCAUGACUCAAAAUCAUGUGGCCGUAAGGCCGUGGGAGUUCAAGUCUCCCCCGAGGCA